rnacentral:rRNA from 1 species
CCUACGGGAGGCUGCAGUGGGGGAUAUUGGGCAAUGGGCGCAAGCCUGACCCAGCAACGCCGCGUGAAGGAAGAAGGCUUUCGGGUUGUAAACUUCUUUUAAGGGGGAAGAGCAGAAGACGGUACCCCUUGAAUAAGCCACGGCUAACUACGUGCCAGCAGCCGCGGUAAUACGUAGGUGGCAAGCGUUGUCCGGAUUUACUGUGUGUAAAGGGCGUGCAGCCGGAGAGACAAGUCAGAUGUGAAAUCCACGGGCUCAACCCGUGAACUGCAUUUGAAACUGUUUCCCUUGAGUGUCGGAGAGGUAAUCGGAAUUACUGGUGUAGCGGUGAAAUGCGUAGAUAUAAGGAAGAACACCAGUGGCGAAGGCGGAUUACUGGACGAUAACUGACGGUGAGGCGCGAAAGCGUGGGGAGCAAACAGGAUUAGAUACCCUUGUAGUC